GGGCCCGUAGCUCAGCGGUAGAGCAGGGAGCUCAUAACUCUAAGGUCGCCGGUUCGAUCCCGGCCGGGCCCA
rnacentral:tRNA from 1 species